UACGAAGGGUGCAAACGUUGCUCGGAAUUAUUGGGCGUAAAGAGCUCGUAGGCGGUCUGUCGCGUCGGAUGUGAAAGCCCGGGGCUUAACCCCGGGUCUGCAUUCGAUACGGGCAGACUAGAGUGUGGUAGGGGAGAUCGGAAUUCCUGGUGUAGCGGUGAAAUGCGCAGAUAUCAGGAGGAACACCGGUGGCGAAGGCGGAUCUCUGGGCCAUUACUGACGCUGAGGAGCGAAAGCGUGGGGAGCGAACAGG
rnacentral:rRNA from 1 species